rnacentral:tRNA from 1 species
AAGGAUUUAGGUUAAGCAAACCUUUAACCUUCAAAGUUAAAAAUAGAGAAAAUUCUCUAAGCCUUA